rnacentral:rRNA from 1 species
GAUGAACGCUGGCGGCGUGCUUAACACAUGCAAGUCGAACGAAGCACUUUAUUUGAUUUCCUUCGGGACUGAUUAUUUUGUGACUGAGUGGCGGACGGGUGAGUAACGCGUGGGUAACCUGCCUUGUACAGGGGGAUAACAGUUGGAAACGGCUGCUAAUACCGCAUAAGCGCACAGCAUCGCAUGAUGCAGUGUGAAAAACUCCGGUGGUAUAAAAUGGACCCGCGUUGGAUUAGCUAGUUGGUGAGGUAACGGCCCACCAAGGCGACGAUCCAUAGCCGACCUGAGAGGGUGACCGGCCACAUUGGGACUGAGACACGGCCCAAACUCCUACGGGAGGCAGCAGUGGGGAAUAUUGCACAAUGGGCGAAAGCCUGAUGCAGCGACGCCGCGUGAGCGAAGAAGUAUUUCGGUAUGUAAAGCUCUAUCAGCAGGGAAGAUAAUGACGGUACCUGACUAAGAAGCACCGGCUAAAUACGUG